rnacentral:rRNA from 1 species
GACGAACGCUGGCGGCGUGCCUAAUACAUGCAAGUCGAACGCAGUGGGGACGGGUGAGUAACACGUGGGUAACCUCCCCAUAUGAGGGGAUAACCCUUGGCUACAGGUGCUAAACCGAUACUGAUGGAUGGACUUGCGUUGCAUUAGCCAGUGGGUGGGGUAACGGCUCACCAAGGCCACGAUGCAUAGCCGGCCUGAUAGGGUGAUCAGCCACACUGGGACUGAGCAACGGCCCAGACUCCUACGGGAGGCAGCAGUAGGGAAUCUUGGGCAAUGGACGAAAGUCUGACCGAGCAACGCCGCGUGAAUGAAGAAGGUUUUCGGAUCGUAAAGCUCUGUUGUUAGAGAAGCGGUAUCUGACCAGAAAGCCACGGCUAACUACGUGCCAGCAGCCGCGGUAAUUC